rnacentral:rRNA from 1 species
GACGAACGCUGGCGGCGUGCCUAACACAUGCAAGUCGAACGGAAAGGCCCUGCUUUUGUGCGGUUCUCGAGGGCCGAAGGCGUGAGUAACACGUGAGUAACCUACCCUUCUCUUUCGGAUAACUUCAGGAAACGGGGGCUAAUAUCGGAUAGGAGCUCCUGCACCAUGGUGGGCGGUGGAAAGUUUCGGCGGUAGGGGAUGGACUCGCGGCUUAUGAGCUUGUUGGUGGGGUAGUGGCUUACCAAGGCUGUGACGGGUAGGCGGCCUGGGAGGGGGACCGGGGUCAAUGGGACUGAGGUACGGCGCAGUCUGGAACGGGAGGCAGUGGGGGGAAGUAUUGCACAAUGAGCCCGAGUGUGUGGCGGAGGCGUCGCGUGCGUAAUGACGGCCUUCGGGUUGAGAACAGCUGUCGCCUGAUACGACGCGUUAGUGACGGUAAUGAGUAAAGAAGCACCGGCUAACUACGUG